CCAGGCAGGUCGCAUAAGUCUCCUGCCUCAAGUAUGGGUCUCUAAAGGAAGAUCUAUCUUUGAGAGAAUCUCAUGCAUGAGACCAUCUUUAGGGGACAGCUUUGUCUACACGCACUUAAACUCUUCAGUCACUUUACCACAUAAACCACAGAAUAGAUUUCCUUCCAGGAAUUGAAAGAAAAGUAACUGAGAACCUAAUCAGCUGUUACCUCCUGAAAACAGCAACAUGGGUCUAAUGGAAUUUAAAUUAAAUUGAAAAUAUUUUUCAUAACUGGAGAAAAUAACUAAAUCUGCCUUCAAAAGAUUUGAGGCUCCUGCUAAGAUACAGUGUUAGUUUUCCAAACAUAACAUACCACCAUGCAGUAUUUCUGAUCAUGCUCAGACUAGAACAAGCAUGACAAUCUUUUACUCAAGUUAGUUAAACAGAAUCAUUCAAUGCAGCUCAAAUAAUCUUUUUCAUGCCAUAGCUCCAUAACAUCGGAGGGGAAAGAAGUAUGUUGAAAAAUCUUUAUAGUAGAGAAAAUCCUUCCAGCUAAACUAGAAGCCACAUAAGUUCUGUCAGAAGGUGAUGGAAAGGAGAAGUUUCCUGGAUGUUAUUUUGGAGGUUCCCUUUAAACCAACCUGAACAGAUUUCUUUGUGUUGUGCUAAAAGGCACACAUAUGAACUAGUAUCUCUCUUACUAGUGACCAGGGAUGGGUGGUGGUGGGCUUUGUUGAAAAAAUCCAACAUUUCUGUGAGGUGUUCUUUGUAAAUAAAAUCACAAAUAGUGAGUAGUUCCAUUUAGGUCAGCUUCUUUCUGGCCAAGCACUGCUGACAGCUGCUCCAGCUCCACCACAGCACAGACAGCACAGACUCCAGCCCCAGGAAGGCACAUGGAAGCCACCAACAGAGGCCACACCGAUAGGGAACUCACAACUUUCACAUUUUACCUUUAUUCACAAUGCAAUUCUCUUCUGAAAAAGUCAGUUGACCUUUGCUUUCACAUCUGCAAAAUGAUGUUAAAAGUAACGAUCACAGGGAAAGAUGUGAACCUCACUGGCAAAUGCAGGUCCUCAAAACCACUGGUUUCCUUAAGCACAGACUGAACCACAGUCAUUCUCAAACUCAGGCACCAUCAUACAGAUAAUACCGCAGGCAGCAGCACAAGCUUCAGGAGUUACCUCACGUCUCCCAUCCCACUCCCAGCCUUUUGCUUCCUCCCUAGCACACAGUGCACCACCCAGUUGUGCUGAGCCAGAUCAGGGAACUGAUCUAGCUUCAAAACAAAGAACUUCUCCUUUUUUCCCCCCACCCCUCGCUUUUUAAAGCUAGUUCAAUUGCCUCAUCUGGAUGCCAGUCCCACAAACAGCUGCACCUUCACAAUCCCUUACGUCAGCACUGCUGCUGAACCACAUGGUGUUAUCUAUAACAUGUUGGGUUUGCAGUUUUGUUUGGGUUUCUUUUAAGAAAUAUCAUUAUGUAUGACCUACUGCCUUGGAGAAACUGGAGAAAGCUAAUGGCAGGAAGGGUGGGUAUCCCUCUCUCUGGAGGGAAAACGAGAAGGAAAUGCUCAGCAGUCAUCAGGUCUCUGAAUCUUUCUUCAAGUGAGCCUUUCUGCUCAGCCCUGAAGAAGCGAGCCUCUGGAAUAUAAACAGAAAUCCCCCACUCAUCAACUACAGAGCACACUUGAGCUGAACAGCUGUUUGCCUAUGAUAUCCUGGAAGCCUUUAGGCAUCUCAGGUAUGCUCAGACAAGAAAGAAUGUGAAGAAAGAAAAAGGGGCACAUACAAACUUCUUUUAAUGGCAUAAAAAAGUCAAGUCUGCCUAAUUCAAAUAACCCUGAUGAGCGAGGGAUUAUUCCUGUGUGCAAAGUGAGCCAACAGGACCUGAAAUCUAUUACCUCUUAUGAAUUGAAAGUUUAUUACUCUUUAUGGGCAUGCUGCAUGUGCACUUUGAAGGGGCUAAUUAAUUCUUUGUAAUAAUCUGUUUUCAAUUAGAAAAAUAAAGGGCUGUGAUGGGAGAUAGAUGCAAGUUCUGCAUUGCACUUUUUGCAGCAAACCAUCCCAAUACAAAUUUCCUGAUACUGCAGAUGUGAGUGCCCAUCUUUUGGCAGUUUGACACACCAAACACCUCUUUGCUCCUGAGAACCAGGAGAGCUCAACUUUGCUUAGAGAUGUUUCAUCUGAAUUUAUACUGCUAAACACAUUGCUUUGUUGCACUGGACUAGUUUCUAUCAUACGCAAGAGCGUGAUACACUAGGAUAGAGAAGAGACACUUUGCCUGAAUCUUUGCUUUCACUUCAACUUCCUCCAGAGGAGAAAACAACUAUUGUGCCAAGGAGCUCCAUUUCCACUGGAGAAAAACAUUAGCAACUUUCAAUCAAAACUGAAAAGAUAUAACUAACUACUCAUGGACUUUUUUUGGAUUAGGAAAACAGAAGCCCCAACUUAGUACAAGGAAUAUGCCUUUAUCUGAAAAACAGGCAGGGAGGGAAGAGGCUUUUAAACUAUCUUUUGGCAACAGCUGACAUUAGGCCCCAGUAUGCCUAUCUACAGCUAACGUAAUCACUGUUGCCAGUCAUAAUUUCAGAGCAUAAGGCAGCAUCAGUAAUUCCCCUGUCCAGAGGCCAGCAGCAGGAAGCAAUGGUUGAAUUUUAAAGUUUUUAAAAAAAGAGACAAAUAACACCAGCAUCUAAAGGUGCCUUAGAAUUGAUGAUACAGGGCUCAGCCUUAAGUGAAGGUUCUUAUACUGCACAUGCGCCAAGCACUGCCUUCUCCAUGGAGCACACAUCAAUGUUAGGAAAAAGGGAGAUGAUAGAUUUUUACAUCCAUCUUUCUUUGCAUUGCAGCACUGUAUAUGUAAAAAAAGAAGUAUUUUUUUUCAUGUGCAUUGCUGAGAUCUUCACAGGCAAUGUAACACAAGGCAUAUGUGCACAACCCGCUGGCAGGGGAUAAUCAACCACAGAUCUCCUUCUGAGUGUGCUGAGCAAAGCCUGGCACCCCUUCCACUGAUACCAGCAGGUCAGUGCUCUUGCCCAAAUUCUCCCAUUUGGUAACAACUGGAGAAACGGGCUGAGAAUGGAGAAUGGAGAAAUGGGUUAGACCUCUCCUGCAGGUUUCCCUGCCUGACUGACAUGCCUGAUCUUGUAAUUGACAGGACAGCUCAUCUCAUCCCCUCUUUUGAUUCUGGCUCCUGACCACUGGCUUUGUAGCUUGACUUCUCAUGCUGAAUGUGGCUCCCCAGUACCUUACUUCACUUUGCCCAGAUGCUCUCAGUAAGUGCCUUGGUUGUUACAGUGAUUAACUGAAAGCUGAUUAAGCAAAUAAUGGUCAGUUCAGAGUACAGAAGACAUCUGAGAAAGAUGAGGGAGACUGAUAGUGUGACCACUAGCAGAGCAGAAAGAAGAGAUUGAUGAUGUAUCACCACGAACAAUAAAGCACAAGAAACUCCUUGCCUGUACAAAGAGAUGAUCUGGACAAACAGCAGGAAACGGGUCAGUGCAGCGGUGUCUGGUUUGAAGGCUGUGA